rnacentral:rRNA from 2 species
UACGUAGGUGGCAAGCGUUGUCCGGAUUUACUGGGCGUAAAGGGAGCGUAGGCGGAUACUUAAGUGGGAUGUGAAAUACCUGGGCUUAACUUGGGUGCUGCAUUCCAAACUGGGUGUCUAGAGUGUUGGAGAGGAAAGUGGAAUUCCUAGUGUAGCGGUGAAAUGCGUAGAGAUUAGGAAGAACACCAGUGGCGAAGGCGACUUUCUGGACAAUAACUGACGCUGAGGCUCGAAAGCGUGGGGAG